GGGAAAGUGAUCAUAAUUACAUGGGUUGAUGAUUUAAUUAUUGCAGCAAGCAAUCAAGAGAGACUGAAAGAAGUGAAAGAGAUGCUUGCAGAAAAAUUUAAAAUGAAAGAUCUGGGUGAACUCAAACAUUUUCUCGGUAUCGAUUUCAAUCAGUCAGAUGGGUGUGUAAAAAUGACACAGGAAAAGUACGCUAACAAGAUAUUACAGCGUUUUAAUAUGCAAGACUGUAGGACCAGAGAAACACCCUGUGAGCAAAAGUUAGAGUAUACUGGGAAUGCAGUAAAGAUGGAAGCUGUGGGAAGUCUUAUAUACCUGACUAUUUGCACCAGACCAGAUUUGAGUUUCGUUGAGCAGGUUAUCACAGUAUUUUGCUGAACCUACAGAGGAACAGUGGGUCACUGUGAAGCACGUACUUAGGUAUCUCAAAGGCACAGCAGAGAAAGGGUUAAGUUUUAGGAGAAACGACUGUGAGAAACUAGGUAUACAAGCCUACAGUGAUGCUGACUGGGCAGCUGAUACCAGUGACAGACGCAGUACUACGGGAUACUGUGUGAGUCUAAGCCAGAACAGCUCUCUAGUCUCGUGGAAGACUAGAAAGCAGCCAACUGUGGCGCUGUCCACAUGCGAAGCGGAAUAUAUGGCACUGGCUUCAACCAUACAAGAGUGUUUAUACCUAGAGCAGUUACUGGGAGGUAUAGAUAACUACAAGUACACAUAAACUGUAGUACAUGAGGACAAUCAGGGAACAAUCACUCUCGCCAAAAACCCUGUAAACAGACGGAGAUGCAAACACAUAGACAUAAAGUAUCGCUUUAUCAGGUCUAUUGUGAAUGAGGGAAGAGUGACCUUGAUGUAUUGUUCUACUGAUAACAUGAUUGCUGAUGUAAUGACCAAACCUGUAAGUAAGUUGAAACUGGAUAGGUUUGCAGGUGCUCUUUUUGGAGAUUGAUGUGUGUAUGACAGGGGUCCACAUUCAUUCUACCUUCUGUUUUUGUUUGUAUAGCAGCCUGAGUACAAGUGGGGGUGUUAAUAUAUGUUCAUUAUGUGCUCAGUUGUAUAUUGAUGUAAUGCUGUACUGUUCUGUAUUGCGCAUAUGUGUAUGCCACAAGGGGGCACUAAAGUAUAAGCUACAGAAGACGCGUUCGUGUUAUUAUGUUUGUCCCAGUUGAUUUACGGUUGUCUCUUACUGAAGGCUGUCUGACCGUGAGAAUGAUGUGUCGGCAGCUAGAAAAAUAAAUAUGCCAAGAACGGCUAAAGAUGAUUCAUCUCUAUCGUCCACUUUUUUCUCCGAAUGCAACACUAGCUGCAACAAUAGUGUAGUACAACUCAACAUAAGCUGUUUUAACUUUGUAUUUAGUGAUACUGUAUUAAGUGAACGAAAGAAUAGGCGACACAUUUUAACGUUAAACGUUGCGAUGGCGCGCCUGCCACAGACACAGCACCAGUCGGUUAAUGGCAUGUCGUUUAACUUAAUUUGCAUAUCUUAAUUUGUGAUCUUAAGAUGAACAAAGGUCUUAGGGGUGUAGAACUACAUGAGGGUGAGUAAUAAUUGACACAGUUUUAAUUUUUGGGUGAACUAACCCUUCCAUUUGUAAUUUUCCAUACCUGUCGUACUACAGUAGCCAUGUUGUAAUCACGUGAUCUACCAGAAUCAGUUUCGCAGCUUCACUACCGUUUCACAAAUCCUUUCCCAUGGCUUCAUGAGAUGGUAAAGUGUCCAUCAUAUGCAAACUUCAGAAUUUGGUUGGAAAAAGUGUGUCAUCUGGGUACUUUUUGCCUGCUCUUUAAUGAGUACUGUGAAUUGGGACAUACGACUUUUGUCACACAGGUGAGGUGAAUGGAUUAUUUUCACCAUACCCUCGUCGUUCAUUUGAUCAACUAAGAAGAACUGGGCAUUUCCUCCUUCACCAGCUCCUAGACAGAAGAAAAAGUGUGUGACAUACACGCAUAGAUUCUUUUGUCCGGCCAAAAGGAAAGAUUCAGAAAUCCCGAAGGUGGCUAAAAAAAUUUGAACUGGAGAGAGCAGGACUUGGAGAAAAAAAAAUGUUCUCUGACAAAUACUGUUGUUCUUCAAUCAGGAACUCGUACGCCAGUUCCCUAAGCGGGGUGAGGGUGGUGGCUUUGAGCUGUUAAAAACGAGAGGCUGCACCAGGACAAAAAUUCUCCAUCCUAUUCCGUGUCCAGAUACAGGUUAUUCCCCUGAAUACCUAUGCUCCGAUGCGGCUGGAAUAGGAGCAGCUACGAUUCAUGUCAGACCUCUUUGGAGAUUGUUGCUUCACUAAACUCCAUUCAUCUCUGUAUUUAGUGCUGUUUGCCUGGGGAUCACAUUCAGACAAUAAUAAUACCAGCUGUAUAUGGGGCCUUUGUUGAAACAAAUGGGUGGGUGAUCUUAUGUAAAAUACACAAAGACUGACCAUGUUGCAUUUACAAAUUACCCAGGAACACAACUAGCAGUCCCCAACAAGAAAGUAGCAACAUGCAAGGCAGCUUUACUUGCAGCAAUACACCAGCAAGUAGUCCCAACACCCUACAUUAUGAGAGCAGCAGCCGAGCAGGAGCAGCAACAGCAUUCCCAUUCUCCAGAGCAGAGCAGGAACAGCAACAGCAUUCCCAUUCUUCAGAGCAGAGAGCAGGAGCAUCAUUUUUAUCAUAUGUGAUCCUGGAGCACAAAACCAGUCAUAAGUCGCACGGGUAUAUUUGUAGCAAUAGCCUACAAUACAUUGUAUAGGUCAGAAUGAUCUAUUUUUCUUUUAUGCCAAAAAUCAUUAGGAUAUUAAGUAAAGAUCAUGUUCCAUGAAGAUAUUUUGUAAAUGUCCUACCGUAAAUAUAUCAAAUGUAUUUUUGUGAGUGGAUAUGCAUUGCUAAGGACUUCAUUUGGACAACUUUAAAGGUGGUUUUCUCACAUUUUGAUUUUUUUUGGACCCUCAGAUUCCAGAUUUUCAAACAGUUGUAUCUCGGUCAAAUAUUGUCCUGUCCUAACAAACCAUCAGUGGACAGCUUUAGUCAGCUUCAUGACUGGUUUUGUGGUUCAGGGCCACAUAUGUCUUCAAAUGCAACUGGGCAAGCUCAUGUCAAAGCAGACAGGAAUAGUGAAGAAAAUGUUCUCAUUGUAUAUUCACCCUUUUUCUGCAGAAUGUGUUAUCUUCGCUCUGUGAGUUCAUGCAGUACCAGUGAAUGGUGACCUAAAACUCUUCAAAAUACAGCGCAUAAAACUGCAGUGCAUUAAUUUAUGAAUUCAGAAAUGAUCAAAUCUGUGAUCUAAAUACGAGGCCAGCAGUCAUAAUUCUGGAUAUACAGUGGUGCUUGAAGCUGACAUCUAUCUAUCUAUCUAUCUAUCUAUCUAUCUAUCUAUCUGUCUAUCUAUCUAUCUAUCUAUCUAUCUAUCUAUCUGUCUAUCUAUCUAUCUAUCUGUCUAUCUAUCUGUCUGUCUAUCUAUGUUGAACGCUGACAACAUGAUUAAUAUUCAUGAAGCUAGCAGCUCAUCAGUCAUUUGUGUGGUUCAUAUUGGUGUUAGUAGUAGAAUUCAUAGUGUUAUUGUCUUUUAAGUUUGGUGGGUAGACAAAAAAAUGACUAGCCAAUAAUGAUUCUACUGCCAAGGUGAUUUGUGUGUCUGUAACUUAUAUUUUCAGAUUGGAAAAUUGAGAGUGAUGAACAGCAAGCAGCACACCAGUUUUGAAGAAACUUAUUACAUGGAGCUGAAGACCGGACACCCCUUCAGGUCACAACAGAUCUAACCAGCAGUGUGUAAGACAGAGAUAGACAGUUUCUGUCAUUCUACGAGUCAAACCCAACUGACUGGGCAUCCCCACUAUCAAUCAACCUUAAAGGUAUGGUUAAAACUAAAUCUGUUUCUUUAAACAUUGGAUUCUUUAUAUGUUAUUUGUACGUAUAAAUAACGAUUUUUAUUGUGUCAGGUGAUGCUGCAGUUGUAACGUGAUACUACUUUGCAAUGCUUAUGUCCAGAAUACAGUACGGCUUCAGUUUAAACAUUGGUAAGUGUGUUUUAUUAAUUUCAUGUUUUUAGUCCUUUUGCUGUGCAGUUGAAAAGCUUUGUCUUAAUUAUUGUGUGAACUAAAUGCCAACUUGUAAAACUUUUUAAGAAAACACUGGAAAAAUGAUGUUCUUCAAUGGAGAAGAUCACUUGGUACCAUCGUCCUCACGAGUUCUUCUGGACAGUGAUCUUUUUAGGGUCAUUGGUCGAAUGAUUGGCCAUUCCUUAAUUCAUGGAGGGCCACUCUUGACAGAGUGAACGAUCUUGCUUUUAGCUGGGACUUGCCAACAUUAACUAGAGAAAACCGGAAGUGGCUUGCAGAAACCGUUCUUCAGCAUGAGGUUAUCGAUCGCAGAGAGAAGCAGAUGAAGCAAAUCAAACGAGGUCUGAAGGAUACUGGGGUCCUGCUCAUGAUGAAAGAACGGCCUUCUCUCAUCACAGUGCUGUUCCCAAAAUCAUCCUUCCUGAACUAAUGGAUUGUUUAUGGCUCUGAAAACAUGCGAUCGUUAACCAGACUUCCCAUUUCCUAAAAACCUGAGCAUUUAUGCUGUUUUCUUUGUCCAUAGAUGGUUUAGAAAGAGUUAUAUGGCCAAUGAUGAAGAUGAAGAUGAGGAUGAUCACGAGGUUCCUCUGGAGUUGAAACGCCAGAUGGCGUCGUACCUCAGGAAGUACAUCGAAAGUGCUACAGCACUGGAUAUGGAGCAGGGUCGGGCAAUCCUCCCACAACAUCUCUAUGUGGAAGUGUCUGACUCCAUUAAAGUGAGAAAAUGAAGCUGCCUUCUCACGACACUCACUACAUGGACUUUCAGGCAGACUUAAAGCAGCAGUGUCCACAAGAGAACGUGGAUUUGGAUUAGUUUAAUCAUAUGGUGUGUUCCUGGGCUUUUUAAAUGAAGAGGCUAGUCCUCAACUGUUAGCCAGUGUGCUUUUGAUAGGACUGUUUAUUGAGAGAGAAAAAAUGUUAUUCAAAUGAAACUAAAUACUAGAUUUUAUAACUUCAUGUUCAUUUUUUCAUUUGUAGCAAGUUACAUAAUGUGUAACUUAAAGUUGAAAUUUGAUGUAAAAAAGUUUUUAAAGUUUGUACAAAUAUUAAAGUACUAUUCAUUUGUUUAAUCAAAUGUAAUUAGCAGCCAGUGCAUCAGGAAAACAUGUAUUUGCUCAUCAAUAAACAAACUGGAUUCAAGGA